GCAUAUUUUACCACUUAUUUCUCUGUUUCUUACAGCCUCAUAAUUGGUCCUCUAUACCGAUACCAGUCGUUUCAUGAAAGUUUGAGCGUUUGUUUCACGGUUCCUUGAAAUACGGUUCUAUGGUUCAAAUAUUUGGAAGCAAGGUUCUUCACAUCUAAUUCGGCCUAUGGUUCUGGUCUGUUGGGAUGUUCGUCGGUACAUCGAGAAAGAGGAGUGGCUUAAUAUCACAUGGGACAUUAUGGUGCAAGGAGCAUUAUCAUUGGAUAAUAUGUUUAUAAUGUAUUUAACACUUUGGGGUACAUGUUAUUUUGUUUUCUUUGAAUAUUUCAAUAUCCUUUCUUUGCUGCUGAGGAAUAAAGAAAGAGAUUAAGCAUAAUAUGAG